rnacentral:rRNA from 1 species
AGUGAACGCUGGCGGCAGGCCUAACACAUGCAAGUCGAGCGGCAGCGCGUCCGACCACCCUCGGGUGGUCGGAUGGCGGCGAGCGGCGGACGGGUGAGGAAUGCAUCGGAAUCUGCCUCGUUGUGGGGGAUAGCCCGGAGAAAUCCGGAUUAAUACCGCAUACGUCCUAAGGGGGAAAGCCGCAAGGCGCUAGUAGAUGAGCUCGCGUAAGAUUAGCUAGUUGGUGAGGUAAAGGCUCACCAAGGCGACGAUCUUUAGCUGGU